UCAACGGAUAUUGGAGUACAUAGAACUCAUUGGCGGAAGGGGUAAGCCACACGUCAACUUCACGAACAACUUCAUCCUGAUCGCUAUCAGUUUCCAUUCCGACUUGUUCUUCUGCAAGAUCGUUUCCCGUAGUCUCUCCAUUCAAAAGAACGUCGUCCUCAACUUUUGCCUCUCCGUUUUUCACUAUAUGAUCUCUUAGAGGGGGUUGUGAUACAAAUUCUUCCUUUUUAGUCGGAAUCUCUGAAUCUACCUUCAAUGGCAGUGUUUCACUUUUGGGUUGGGGCUUUAAUUUGGAGUUCUUGGGAGCGAAACGAGCUUGCCUGCUCGGGACUUUACUUGGACCG
rnacentral:misc_RNA from 1 species